rnacentral:rRNA from 1 species
GACGAACGCUGGCGGCGUGCUUAACACAUGCAAGUCGAACGGAAAGGCCCUGCUUUUGUGGGGUGCUCGAGUGGCGAACGGGUGAGUAACACGUGAGUAACCUGCCCUUGACUUUGGGAUAACUUCAGGAAACUGGGGCUAAUACCGGAUAGGAGCUCCUGCUGCAUGGUGGGGGUUGGAAAGUUUCGGCGGUGGGGGCUGGACUCGCGGCUUAUCAGCUUGUUGGUGGGGUAGUGGCUUACCAAGGCUUUGACGGGUAGCCGGCCUGAGAGGGUGACCGGCCACCUUGGGCCUGAGAUACGGCCCAGCCUCCUACGGGAGGCAGCAGUGGGGAAUAUUGCACAAUGGGCGGAAGCCUGAUGCAGCAACGCCGCGUGCGGGAUGACGGCCUUCGGGUUGUAAACCGCUUUCGCCUGUGACGAAGCGUGAGUGACGGUAAUGGGUAAAGAAGCACCGGCUAACUACGUG